UACCUUCUAAGGAUUAUUCUAAACCAAACGCUCCUAAGCAUUAUUCUAAGCCAAACCCUAAACCCAACCUAAACCAAACGCUAAACCAUUCCUACUAUCUAAACCCUAAAUUCUACCUAACCCUAAACCCUACCUAAACCUAGACCUUAACCCUACCUAACCCUAAACCCUACAUAAACCUAACCCUAAUCCCUAAACCCUUCCUACUACCUAAACCCUCAACCUAUCUAACCGUAAACCUACCUAACGCUAAACGUAAACCCUACCUAACCCUAAAACCCAACCUAAAACCUAACCCUAACCUUACCUAACCCUAACCCUAAACCAUAUUAACCCUAAACCCUACCUAACCCUAAACACUACCUAGCCCUACAAAACUCUAAACCCUACUAACCCUACCCCCUGUUCGAAACUACGCUAGGCGCUAGUCGGGCGGCUAUUCUGGGCCUAGCGAGUUACCAAAUAAUCGGGGAGUAAUCGGAGAUUAAUCGGCGAUUAAGUCCAAGACAUUUUACUGAUAUAUAUUUGAUUUGGCAAACAUACCAAUAUGUUGACUUGUCCUGGUGGUUAGAAACGCGGAUAAAGACAUCGUGACCCGGUUUCGAAGCCCAGCUUGAACAUUUGUUUUGCAUUUUCCGGCUUUAAUUCAUUAAAUGAGAAAAUUACAUGUCUACCCUCGUCUCUUUGCUAAUGUUCUCUGCAACCCUAGCCGCCAUCUAUAUGCUUCAAACACGAUUUUUCAUCUUUUUAUCAAUUUUGUUCAAAUUUUCUCGGUUUAGCAACACGUUUUGGUAAUCUUAGGCAUCGAUUUCACUGAUUCCACGUUUAAAUCGAAAAAAAAAACAGUCCACCGCCGGGCCACUCCGAUUUGCUCCUCCUCGCCACGGUGAGUAUACGCCUAACGCUUAUCCGGCCGAGAACUCGUCAACUCGGGCGCGUUUUCGAACAGAGACCCUACGUAACCUAAAACCUUUCUAACCCUAAACCCUUUCUAGCCCUAAACCCUGCCUAACCCUAAACCCUUUCAAACCCUAAACCCUACCUAACCCUAAACCCUCCCAAACCCUAAACCCCUUCUAACCCUAAAUCUGACCUAACUCUAAACCCUGCCUAACCCUAAACCCAACCUAACCCUAAACCCUUUUUAACCUUAAACCCUUUCUAGCCCUAAAUCCUACUAACCAUAAACCCUACUAACCAUAUAUCCUUUCUAACCCUAUACCCUGCUAACCCUAAACCCUACCUAAUUCUAAACCCUACCUAACCCUAAACUCUACUAACCCUAAACCUAGCCCUAAAACCUACCUAACCCUAAACCCUACUAACCCUAAGCCCUACCUAAUUCUAAACCCUACCUAGCCCUAAACCCUACCUAACUCUUAACCCUACCUACCCUAACCCUACCUAACCCUAAACCCUACCUAGCCCUAAACCCUACUAACCCUAAACCCUACCUAACCCUAAACCCUACCCAACCCUAAACCCUACUAAGUUUAAACCCUACUAACCCUAAACCCUACCUAACCCUAAACCCUACUAAUUCCAAACCUACUUAACCCUAAACCCUACCUAACCCUAAACCCUACCUUGCCCCAAACCCUACUAACCCUAAACCCUACCUAACCCUAAACCCUACCUACCCUAAACCCUUUUUAACCCUAAACUCUUUCUAACCCUAAACCCUACCUAGCCUUAAACCCUACUAACCCUAAACCCUACCUAACCCUAAACCUUACCCAACCCUAAACCCUACUAACUUUAAACCCUACUAACCCUAAACCCUACUAAUUCCAAACCCUACCUAACCCUAAACCCUACCUUGCCCCAAACCCUAAUAACCCUAAACCCUACCUAACCCUAAACCCUACUAACCCUAAACCUCACCUAACCCUAAACCCUACCAACCCUAAACCCUACCUAACCCUAAACCCUACCAAACCUAAACCCUACCUAGCCCUAAACCCUACCCUAAACCCUUUUUAACUCUAAACCCUACCUAACCCUAAACCCUUUCUAACCCUAAACCAUUCGUAACCCUAAACCCUGCCUAACCCUAAACCCUUUCUAACCCUAAACCCUUUCUAACCCUAAACCCUACCUAACCCUAAACCCUACCUAACCCUAAACCCUACUAACCUUAAACCCUACCUAAUUCUAAAACCUACCUAACCCUAAACCCUACCUACCCUAAACCCUACUAAUUCCAAACCCUACCUAACCCUAAACCCUACCUAACCCUAAACCCUACUUAACCCUAAACCCUUUCUAACCCUAAACCCUACCUUGCCCUAAACCCUAUUAACCCUAAAUCCUUUCUAACUCUUGACCCUUUGUAACCCUAAACCAUGCCUAACCCUAUAAACCCUACCUAACCCUAAACCCUUUCUAACACUAAACCGUACCUAACCCGAAACCACGCUAACCCUAAACCCUACCUAACCCUAAACCCUACUAUCCCUAAACCCUACCUAAUUCUAAACCCUACCUAACCUUCAACCCUACCUAACCCUAAACCCUACCUAACCCAAAACCCUACCUAACCCUAAACCCUACCUACCCUAAACCUUACCUAACCCUAAAUUUUACCUAGCCCUAAAACCUACUAACCCUAAACCCUACCUAACCCUAAAUCCUACCAACCUUAAACCCUACCUAACCUUAAACCCUACUAACCCUAAACCCUACCUAACCCUAAACCCUUUUUAACCUUAAACCCUACCUAACCUUAAACCCUUUCUUACCCUAAACCCUUCCAAACCCUAAACCCUGCCUAACCCUAAAAAGCCUACCUAGCCCUAAAUGCCUCCUUAAUCUCAAAUACCCCUAAUCUCAAAUACCCUCUUAAUCUAAAAUGCUCCCUUAAUCUCAAAUACCCUCUUAAUCUAAAAUAUUCCCUUAUUCUCAUAUACCCCUAAACCCUAAACCCUAAAAAUCUCAAAUACCCAUAUUCUCAAAUAUCCCUUAUUCUCAAAUACCCCUAAAUCUCAAUACCCAUUAAUCUCAAAUACCCCUAAUCUAAAAUACUCCCUUAAUCUCAAAUACCCCUAAUCUCAAAUACCCUCUUAAUCUAAAAUACUCCUUCUCAAAUACCCCUAAUCUAAAAUACCCCUUAUUCUCAAAUAUCCUUUAAUCUCAAGUACCCCUAAUCUCAAAUACCCAUAAUCUCAAAUACCCUAUUAAUCUAAAAUGUCUCCUUAAUCUCAAAUACCCUCUUAAUCUAAAAUACCCUCUUAUUCUUAUACACCCCUUAAUCACAUAUACUCUCUAUUCUCAUAUACCCUUUAAUCCUUAAUACCCUUUAUCCCAAAUACCUCUAUUCUCAUAUACCCUUAUUCUCAUAUGCCCUUUAUCCAAAAUAUACAUUAAUCUUAAAUAUUUCUUAGUCCUCUUACCCCUAAUCCCAAAUACUUCUAAUCCCUAAACCCUUAUUUCCAUAUAUCCCCUAGUCCCAAGUACCCUAUUUAAAUUUACACCUAAUCUCAUUAUCCCUAAUCCUUUAUACAUUUAAAUCCCAAAUACCCUUAGUUUUAUACGGCUAAUCUCAUAUACCUUCUAAGGAUUAUUCUAAACCAAACGCUCCUAAGCAUUAUUCUAAGCCAAACCCUAAACCCAACCUAAACCAAACGCUAAACCAUUCCUACUAUCUAAACCCUAAAUUCUACCUAACCCUAAACCCUACCUAAACCUAGACCUUAACCCUACCUAACCCUAAACCCUACAUAAACCUAACCCUAAUCCCUAAACCCUUCCUAC
rnacentral:lncRNA from 1 species